rnacentral:pre_miRNA from 1 species
AUUCUACUCCCUCCGUUCCACAAUACAUGCCUUCUAUUUGUCAAAAUAUAUAUGUAUCUAGACAUGUCUUAGUAUAUAGGUACAUCCAUUUUUGGACAAAUGGAAGUCAAGUAUUUUGGAACGGAGGGAGUACACA